rnacentral:rRNA from 1 species
GUGCAGCAGUCGCGAAACCUCUGCAAUGCGCGCAAGCGCGACAGGCUACCCCGAGUGCCGCCCGCUGAGGGCGGCUUUCUCCGGUGUAAUGAGUCGGAGGAAUAAGGGGAGGGCAAGCCUGGUGUCAGCCGCCGCGGUAAGUACCAGCUCCCCGAAGUGGUGGGGACGGUUAUUGGGCCUAAAGCGUCCGUAGCCGGUUCGGCAAGUCCUCCGUUAAAGCCAACGAUCCAAUCGUUGGAAUGCGGGGGAUACGUGCCGGACUAGGGGGCGGGAGAGGCCGACGGUAC